rnacentral:rRNA from 1 species
CACGUAGGGGGCGAGCGUUGUCCGGAUUUAUUGGGCGUAAAGAGCUCGUAGGCGGCUCGGUAAGUCGGGUGUGAAAACUCGGGGCUCAACCCCGAGACGCCACUCGAUACUGCUGUGGCUUGAGUCCGGUAGGGGAGCGUGGAAUUCCUGGUGUAGCGGUGAAAUGCGCAGAUAUCAGGAGGAACACCGGUGGCGAAGGCGGCAUCCUGGACCAAUAUUGACGCUGAGGAGCGAAAGCCAGGGGAGCAAAACGGG